rnacentral:rRNA from 1 species
GACGAACCGUGCGAACGUUGCUCGGAUUGACUGGGCGUAAAGGGCGCGUAGGCGGUUUGUACAGUCAGACGUGAAAUUCCUGGGCUCAACCUGGGGGCUGCGUUUGAUACGUGCAGACUUGAGUUCGGAAGAGGGUCGUGGAAUUCCCAGUGUAGAGGUGAAAUUCGUAGAUAUUGGGAAGAACACCGGUGGCGAAGGCGGCGACCUGGUCCGAUACUGACGCUGAGGCGCGAAAGCCAGGGGAGCAAACGGG